ensembl:lncRNA
CUUAAAGUCCAGAUUUCUGCUAAUAGUCUGCUGGAGGACAUUCAAGCUUUCUCUGUUACUCUCCUCAGAAAUUCUUCCAGCUUCCACCCAGUGCCCGGUUCCAAAACAAAUCUCACAAUUUUCAGUUCAGCUUGUUCCAGGAGCAUCAUGCUUCCAGGCUUGCCAUCAGAGCCAAACCACAUGUUGGAAGCUAUACCCAAGAAUGGUUGAGGCAUUUCCUUUUCUGGGAGAACAAUACUGAAUCAGGAAGAGAGCUCUCAGUGGGAACUGAAUCUGCCUGAACCUUGAUCUUGGACUUGCCAGCCUUCAGAACUGUGAGAAAUAAACGCUUGUUGUUUAAGC